AACCCAUCAUGUGUUCCCAACCCAUCAUGUGUUCCCAAGCUUCACACAAGCUUUCACAAUCUCUUUGCUCAAACCUUGCAAUCUCAUUUCUAAACCU
rfam:Arabis alpina cultivar Pajares Aa.chr3_contig_2444, whole genome shotgun sequence.